GGACCUGGGAGGGUGAAGGAGGAGAAUUAGACCCCGGGAGGGUGAAGGAGGAGAAUUAGACCCCAGGAGGGUGAAGGAGGAGAAUUAGACCCCAGGAGGGUGAAGGAGGAGAAUUAGACCCCGGGAGGGUGAAGGAGGAGAAUUAGACCCCAGGAGGGUGAAGGAGAAGAAUUAGACCCCAGGAGGGUGAAGGAGGAGAAUUAGACCCCAGGGAGGGUGAAGGAGGAGAAUUAGACCCCAGGAGGGUGAAGGAGGAGAAUUAGACCCCAGGAGGGUGAAGGAGGAGAAUUAGACCCCAGGAGGGUGAAGGAGAAGAAUUAGACCCCAGGAGGGUGAAGGAGGAGAAUUAGACCCAGGGAGGGUGAAGGAGGAGAAUUAAACCCCAGGAGGGUGAAGGAGGAGAAUUAGACCCCAGGAGGGUGAAGGAGGAGAAUU